GAUGGAUUUUUACAUUGGCCCCGACUUGGGUCCAUCAAAAUUUAUUAAUUUAUAAUGAUUAUUAAUUUAUCGAGUAUUAAUUUAUAGAGGUUUUACUGUAUAUAUAUAUAUGAAGUAUGAAACAUGAAGCUAUUAGGUUUUUGGCACGUAAUGUGUAAAAGAGAAUGCUUUCAACAGUUUGUUUUACGAUUAUAAACCACUAGCUUUUUACGUGACCAAACCACUGUAAUAUUAUAUAUACUUGCAAGUUGCAAUCUACAAACAAACAACACACAGACGAGACGAACGUGGAAAACCAAAAGAUGGGGAGGAAUUGCAAUUUCAUUAUAAGCAGCCUAUUGAAUCGAAGCUCACAUGUAAGAUUCUGAGUUUUAUUACUUCCAUUCCUUAUGAAAUCUUAACCAUGGAUCAAUGCUUAUAUGCAGAAUGAUUAAUGUUUCUUCCUUCGGUAAUUACCCUAUGCAUCGAACAAAACAUACCAUUCGUAUAGCAUUUUAAUUUUUAAAUUCGUAAAGCCAAUGGUGUUUAGGCUUAGGGCAUCCGCAACGCAGAGACAGGCUGCGUUUUUAGUAGAAACAAAAUAAUAAAGAAGUUGGGCCGUGUCUCUAUUUGGCCCGAGAUGUUUCUUAUUUCGGGACAUUUGAAGACGUUUCUCGGGACAGGUGGUGUUUGAUGAUAGGCUCACGUAAUUGGGGAAAAAAAAACUUGUUGCUUCGAUUUCAUUUUUCCCCGACCACUUCUUUCUUCCAUUUUCAUUUCCUCUCCGACGAUUAUGAGAGAUUGUUGGUGCUGCUUCUCCGAUCGAUCGACUUUCCGACGAAUCGCGACGUUUGUUCGCAUCAUCUCCAAAAUCGGCGACCACUUGUCAGGGAAAGGCUUCAGAUAAGUCAUUUCUAACCCUAAAACUCCUCUCUUAUUGUUUGUUCUUUGGUCGAUUCCAUGGUAUUUUUUUCGUUUUAUUUCAAAAUUGAGGACUCCUAUGUUUUACGGUUAGAUUCUCCGUCUUCUUAUUGUAAUGAGGAUCAGAUUGUUCAGAUUUAGGGUGAUUUGCGAUGAAACCCUAAUUUGAAAAUUGGGGGUUUUCGUUUGUCAUAAAAUUUCCAUGUAUAGAUCGUAAUAUCGGGUACAUUAGCUUGCAGUAUGUACUAUUUGAACUGGAAAUAUACUUUUGAUUCACGAAUUGGUUGAUUCUCUCUUUGUCCAUAAUUUGCGAGCAAACCCUAGUUACUGAAAAUUGGGGCUUUUGUAUUAUGAUGAAAUAUAUUUGUUUUGUUCGUUUUUUCUUGUUAAUUAGAUGAUAUCUGAAGAAGAAAUCUAUGGUUUAGGUGAUUUUGAGGUUGAGUGAUUCAUCGUUGCCAUGUCCAUUUCAUCUUAGACUUCGGUGAAGAUAUGUUUGGCUGGUUUGUGGGAUUUGAUUUGUGCUUUUGGUAUGUUUGUUUGACCUUAGAGUCUAUGUGCUUUUCAUUGGUGUGUUUGAUCUUCGACUCUGUACUUGUAUGUAUAUUUUUUUGUGUGUUAUGAAAACGUUUUAUUCAUGUUAUUUACAGACAAAUGCCGAUAAGCCAUACCAACAGCUCAUCGUUCAAAGCAAGCUUUGAUAGCGGAUGUGCAAAGGCUGAUGGGGACUUCGGGAUUCCUGAACGAUGCUAAUGUGGGCUUCGUUGUAGGCUUGAAGAGUCUACAGCUCCAGCAACAUUUGGGAGGAAGUUUUAUUGUUGUCCUGAAAGACUGGGCGAGGAUAAGCCGGAUCACAUCUGCAAAUGGUGGGAUGAAGCCAUUGAAGAGCAGCUCACCAUUCUCCAAAUUCGCAUUGACAAGCAGAGUUCAAGGAUGUUUAGUGACAACAGAACAGCCCUUCUUCAGUCGUAUGAGAAUCGGCUCUACGCUUUGGAGGAUCGCAUGACCUUAGUCGAGAAGACUGUUGCCGAGAUCGAGGAGUUCAUCGGGUACAUUCAGAGUGAGAUUGCUGGUGUGAAAGAAACACUUGAGAAUCGAGGUUCUGAUUUGCUCCUUGCUGUAUUUUUAGUUAUCUUUGCUAUUAUCACUUGUGUUUUCAUGCGAUGGGAUUUAGCAUAUUGACAUUCGAGUUGUUUAGGCUGAUCACUGAAUGUUUGUUAUCUGACUUUGUUGACUAUGAUGGUUGGGUUUAAUGAAUGUUUGCUAUCGGAUUACUGUGUCGUUUGUAUUGGUAUUUGGAAAUCUAUGUUUUGCUUGUCUCAUAUAUCGAAGUGUAGUCUGUGAGUUCGAAUGACAGGAUCCUAGCCAUUUUUUGGGAUUACUGAAGCAGAUAAGUUCUUGUUCUCUUUAUCUUCUCUUUAUCUUCUCUAUUUAGCUGUUCUAUAAUAGUCGCUGACAGUUUUAUUCUUUUAUAUGUUUGUUUUCUUAUCAGCUGAUCGUGUGAUGCUAUUGGUUCGGGUCUAACUAGAAGCUGGUUAAACAAGAGUCUUUCUCCGACUUCAUUUCUAAUGGGAAUAUUUGGGAUAUGUAUGCAAACAGCAAUGCUGAGUCAGGGAUGCGUUGGACACAACUAUUUUCAGAGUCAGGGAAUCGUUUGAGUGGACAAUAAAGCAGUCCAUUUUAUGUCUUUUAGUACUUUUUUGUUGUAGACCACAAAGGAAUUGUUCUUUUUUUUUUCCAAACCUUUGAAUGUAACCGAGACAAUGUUAUAAAACCAUUGCUUUCCUCAAGUUAGAAAAACACUUCUUCAUAGUUUCUGAUUUUACUCUAUUUCUGCUUAUAUUCUACUUCUUCUAAGUUUAGUUUUUUCCAACUCCUUCACCUAAACCCUUUCUUUACAUAUUUUUAAUCCCCGCAACCAACCGGAUGGCCUCA